CUGCCCACUGGGUUCUCUGCCGCGGGCCACCAUCCCCAUGGCAGGCCAGAGAGGAGGAUGAGGGUGCUCCACCACACACGGGUGGGGGCACGUGGGAGGCACGGAGGACGGCGAGCGGCAUCGGCGCACUGGAAGGACGAGGAGGUGCUGCACCUCGCAUCUCCGGCCAGAUCCCAUCGCCGAUGGGAUCGGGCGUCGCUGGCGUGCAGUUUCCAUUUGAUGUGCUCGCGAUUCAGAGCACUGGCGCGUCAUGCUGCUCACAGGGUCUCACCGACGAAGGCUCGCGUUCUGCAGUUCUCUUGCGCAUCCGUUGCGGCUUCAGUGGUCGUGAUGCUCACCGGUGCCUCAUCCCUACGUAGUUUUGUCCAUGGAUCUCUCUGUAGGGUGAGAGUGCUUCAUGUAGUUCGAUACCCGUAGUCGUGCGGUGCAGCAAAAUAGGGCGCGUGCGGGCAAAGUAGUGCGGCAUCGGUAGCCGAACAAAUCAGCUUAACACAAGGCGGUUCGCUGGACUCAUUCAUGUUUGUCCCAGCAGUGCAGUUGACUUGCAGCUGUGCGGGGUGUCUCUCGUUGUAGCUCGGUUGGGUCGUCGGUGCAGUAGGCGAGCACGUGGGAGGACAAUGCACAUCUAGUUGGAUUCCGGUCGUGCGACGCUGCAGUACAGAUGUGUGCGGCAUGCAUUUUUCUGCAUUUUACUUGGUGUGGACGUGCAGUUCUGCGACUGUGGACGUGCAGCUCGAAGGCGCGCGUGUUUGCGGUUCAGUGCUCGUGCAGGUGCAGCUCGUCAUCGCGGGCGCACUGCAGUACGGGUGAGUCAUCGGUGCGGUGCGGCUGGGCGUAAUGUUGCAGUUAUUUAUUGUUGAUUUUCCAGAUUUACAAAGACGUUGUAAGAAAAAAAUUCAAAACUCA